rnacentral:rRNA from 1 species
UAAGGAAUAUUGGGCAAUGGAGGGAACUCUGACCCAGCCAUGCCGCGUGCAGGAUGAAGGCGUUAUGCGUUGUAAACUGCUUUUUAUAUAGGAAGAAAUAGUCCUUGCGAGGAAAGUUGACGGUACUAUAUGAAUAAGCACCGGCUAACUCCGUGCCAGCAGCCGCGGUAAUACGGAGGGUGCAAGCGUUGUCCGGAUUUAUUGGGUUUAAAGGGUGCGUAGGCGGUUUAUUAAGUCAGUGGUGAAAGACGGUCGCUCAACGAUUGCAGUGCCAUUGAUACUGGUAGACUUGAGUAUGAUUGAGGUAGCUGGAAUGGAUAGUGUAGCGGUGAAAUGCAUAGAUAUUAUCCAGAACACCAAUUGCGUAGGCAAGUUACUAAGUCAUAACUGACGCUGAGGCACGAAAGUGUGGGUAUCAAACAGGAUUAGAUACCCCGGUAGUCCCUGAGCGGGCUGGCAAGGCGCAU